CGCGUAGGCGGGUUUAUAAGUUAUGUGUGAAAUCUCUGGGCUUAACCUGGGAACUGCACAUAAUACUGUAAGUCUAGAGUAGAGUAGAGGAAAGUGGAAUUUCCGGUGUAGCGGUGAAAUGCGUAGAUAUCGGAAGGAACACCAGUGGCGAAGGCGGCUUUCUGGACUCAUACUGACGCUGAGGCGCGAAAGCGUGGGGAGCAAACAGGAUUAGAUACCCUGGUAGUCCAUGCUGUAAACGAUGAAGACUAGAUGUUGCUGGGAUAAAACUUGGCAGUAUCGAAGCUAACGCGAUAAGUCUUCCGCCUGGGGAGUACGGUCGCAAGAUUAAA
rnacentral:rRNA from 1 species